GGCGAACGCUGGCGGCGUGCUUAACACAUGCAAGUCGAGCGGUAAGGCCCUUUCGGGGGUACACGAGCGGCGAACGGGUGAGUAACACGUGGGUGACCUGCCCUCAGCUCUGGGAUAAGCCUGGGAAACUGGGUCUAAUACUGGAUAUGACUCCACGGUGCAUGUCGUGGGGUGGAAAGCCUUGUGCGGCUGAGGAUGGGCCCGCGGCCUAUCAGCUUGUUGGUGGGGUGANGGCCUACCAAGGCGACGACGGGUAGCCGGCCUGAGAGGGCGACCGGCCACACUGGGACUGAGACACGGCCCAGACUCCUACGGGAGGCAGCAGUGGGGAAUCUUGCGCAAUGGGCGAAAGCCUGACGCAGCGACGCCGCGUGAGGGAUGACGGCCUCGGUUGUAAC
rnacentral:rRNA from 1 species